rnacentral:rRNA from 1 species
AUACGUAGGGGGCGAGCGUUGUCCGGAAUUAUUGGGCGUAAAGGGUGCGUAGGCGGCCUUUUAAGUCAGAUGUGAAAGACCACAGCUUAACUGUGGGGUUGCAUUUGAAACUAGAGGGCUUGAGUGUCGGAGAGGGCAGUGGAAUUCCCGGUGUAGCGGUGAAAUGCGUAGAUAUCGGGGGGAACACCAGUGGCGAAGGCGACUGCCUGGACGACAACUGACGCUGAGGCACGAAAGCUAGGGGAGCAAACAGGAUUAAAUACCCUGGUAGUCCUAGCCGUAAACGAUGGGUACUAGGUGUAGGUGGUUUCGAUACCAUCUGUGCCGCAGUUAACGCAAUAAGUACCCCGCCUGGGGAGUACGUUCGCAAGAAUGAA